GCAAUGAGCCGUUUUACAGAUGGAGAAACUUAGUCCUCAAUGAUUUGCUGAAGGGCCGAGUUGCUUAGCCCUGCAGGGUACACAGAUGAAUAGGGAGGGUCGCUGAGCACUUGCAGCCGAGACAGGGUUGCCACCCACUGCAAGGACAAAAAUCACUACUGGGUCAGCUCUGCAGCUGCAAAUCUGGGGAAAAGGGACCCACCCAGGCACUAGGGCAACUGCCCAGCUCCAUUGCAUCAGGGUCCCAAGGAACAAGCACAUCAGCUCUCUCCAGAGCCCUUCUCACCAUCUCACGUGCCUGCCAUGCUGUUUCUUACCAACCCAGGAGGCAGAGCUGGUGGCUGCUGCUCCACCCUCACCCUUUGGACCUCCCCACAGGGCGGGACAGGGUGGGCCCAGGUGGAGUCUGAGCUGGGUGCCAAUUCCAGGAAUGCAGCUGGAGGUGGGGGUGGGCGGUGCUGGGCCUGGACAGGUGGGAGAGAAAGGCAGGAGGCAGCUGAAGGGGGCGGUCUCAGAAGCCCCCACGGGGAGACUCCUAUCCACCUGGCAGGCAUUUGGAACAACGUGCUUAAUAACGGCAGCAUUUGUGAAAUCUAAUUAGUGCAGGCCCAACUUCUGACUUCCUGCGCAGGGGCUCCUCCUCUAGCCCUAGGCUAUCGAGCUGAAUUAAGCUGCCUAAGAUCACCUCAUUAAAUUCACUAACCUUGCUUUUCCACCACGUUUAGCCCCUGGUGCCCUUCCUCUGUCUGUGGGAGGUGCGCGUCUGGCAUUCCUCCAGUGCGUUCCCAGGCAGGUGUUUUGAGAAACUCCCCUCCUCUUCCCGCCUCUUCCCUCCCCAAACGGCUCCCUUAAUCACAAGUUGCUUUCUUCUGAGCUCAAUAAUCACGCUGGACUAAUCCGUCCACAAAAUCCUGUGGCUGCAGUAGGAGCCCUCUUCCCAGCCCUCCCUGGCUAAGAGAUGGUGGUCCCAGAGGGGCUGAGGACUCCUCCUGGAGGCAGGCAGGGGGCUGUCUGGAGGCAGAGUGUUGGGCCUGCUGGCAAACUGGUAACUGGCACAUGUGACUUGCAUUUCCUGGGGCUUAACUGCUGGGAGUGCACUUCUGGAGUAGAGAUGGGCGAUGGGGAUGCCUGGUGAGAACAGUGUCCAGGAUAAGAGGGGAGGGGAUGGAGAAGCGGCUCUGGAGCCCAACUCGCCGUUAGCCCUGAUAAACAAACGACUCCCUGUGGGUCAGAGUACAGGGUAGGUAGCAGAAACAAUCAGGCCAGAGGGGUAUUCGUUGCAGAAAAGAAAUGUGAUGCAAUUAGUAUGCUAGGGGAAUGGAAAACUCUAACGUGGAGACAGGGCUAAAGUUACUGCCCACUCAACUCUGCGUGGAAUUGUGCUGAAUGGAGGAGCACUGCAGCAAGGGCUGACCACCGCCCAGUCCAGGUUGGGUGCGUGUGCCCUGCUGUGAGACCGGACCUCAGGAAAGGGGUCGGGGGAAGGUUGGGUUGGGAAGGAGAGGCUCUGUAGCCACACCUGUGAAGCUCCAGGCAGCUUCCCUAAUGUCUCUCCUUAGCCUCUUGCAGAGAGGGCUGAUGCACGUCUUCCCCGCCCGGCUGGUGUCUGGGUUAAUUGGACCUUGUUUAUAUAGCAUCUAUUAUUUAUGAUUUCCUUUCGUCUCUCCUGAGUGUGACAACCAUGGUUAAACAACCAGAGUUAUUCCUGCCUUGGGACAUGUAUGAGGACGGUCUCCUUUGCAGCCUACCUGAAGUGAAUGUGAGGCCGAGAGGCUUCGUGAAAGGUGCCAGGACUACAGACAGGGCAAGGGAGAGCAGGGGCUUGCUGGAGAAAUCCAUCCUUCUCUGAGAUCUCUUGGAGGGCUCUCCAUCUCUCUUAGAGCAGUUUCUUUCAUAGACAGUUGAAGCUGCCUCAGUGGUCUCCCCAGAUCAUGCAGGUCGGGGCAGAAGCUUCUCACUCAGAGAACUGAGAAUAUAAUUUGUCACAGAAGGCUAAGGUGGAACUUAGACCAAGAUGUUCUUGACCUUAGCAGUUUGACUUGGGUGGGGGUUUGGAAGCUGGAACUUUUCAACAUAUAUCUCCAAGCUUCAGGAGGAAGCUAGACACAUCUGAAAGCCUCUGAACAGCCUGUGAUGAAGAUUCUUGAAGAAAGAGACCGUUUGCGUUAGUGACUAAGAGUACAGGUGCAAGAGGCAGACCGCCCAUGUUAAAAUCUGGCUCCACUCCUGAGCUGUGUGACCUUGGGAAAGUUUUUCAACUGAAGCCACAAAGACCUAAUCUGGGAGGUGGGAAUAGUCAUAGGGAAGGGUCGUGGGGAAAUAAAAUGAGAGAAUGCAUGUAACGUUCUUGGCUGACAGUGCCCGGUGAAUAUUAGCUGCUAUUACGGUUGUUCCUACCACCACACCCUCUCCCAUUCGUUUCCUUCUCAAUUCUAUUGACAUUUUCAGUGUCUAACUCCUUUUGAGGGAUCAUGGAUUUUGUAGAACUAGGCUGCUUUCACUCUUCGAGGGUGGUCUUUCUGAUUGAUCCAUCAGUCUGUCUUUUCCUUGCCGUCCUUGGUAUGCACACACAUACGUGGAAGCUAUAUUCCUCCUUCAUACUGGACUUUGAGGACAACAUUUUCAUGUUUCACGUUUCCCACUUCAUCUCCUUUGUUUUCCACUUGCUUAGUUUCCUACUCUUCCCUUUAUCCUGAGGUGUUGUGAGGGGAAUGGCCUGCAGAGUCCAAAGGCGGCUGUCGUGUCAUUUGUCCAUGUUUGCAUUCCCGUGCCCUCCCCACAGUUGGUUGAUCUCUGGGCUGCACGCAUGUUGGGUUCACUGAUCGCAGAGCCUUUUUCUGGCUGCCAAGAGCACGGGAGCCUCCCAGAGGCUGUUGGCAUGUGGAUGCUGCCUCUGCGAUCCACGACCCCACCAGGCUGAUGCUUCAGGAACAGAUCACACCUCGGCUGAACCCAUCAGGCUGGAACACUGGAUUCUUAACCAACCGUAGGUGCUACUGCCGCUCUAUGACCUGCCGAUGCCCUCUGUCCUUCUCUGGUGCCUUUGUCCACAUGGGUCUUCAGUUCCUUCAACAUGCAUGCUUGUGGCCCCUUGGAGCUCACCUCCUCAAGCAAGCCUCCCAGCCCAGUCAGCCCCUGCGCACUCUCACGUUGCCUGUACGUCUCCUUCACAACUCACGUCACUGAUGGACUUACACAGUUGGGUGUGUAUUUGGAAACUUGUCUUCUUCAUGCUGGAAUAUCAGCCCUAAGAGGGCAAGAAGUGUUCCUAUUUGUUCACUACAGUAUUAUAUGAACACCCCUGGCAUAUAAUAAAUGCUCCCUCAGUAGUUGACUAUUAUAUGGACACCCCUGGCAUAGAAAAAAUGCUCCCUCAGUAUUUGAAUAAAUAAUUGUGGUGUCAA